rnacentral:rRNA from 1 species
GCUUUGUCACCCGCUCGGGAAGGGCCUGCGGGGGCGUUGGUCAUCCACAAAAUUUUCCACGGUUGACCUCGGAUCAGGUAGGAGUUACCCGCUGAACUUAAGCAUAUCA